rnacentral:rRNA from 1 species
GUUAAGCGACUAAGCGUACACGGUGGAUGCCCUGGCAGUCAGAGGCGAUGAAGGACGUGCUAAUCUGCGAUAAGCGUCGGUGAGGUGAUAUGAACCGUUAUAACCGGCGAUUUCCGAAUGGGGAAACCCAGUGUGAUUCGUCACACUAUCAUUAACUGAAUCCAUAGGUUAAUGAGGCGAACCGGGGGAACUGAAACAUCUAAGUACCCCGAGGAAAAGAAAUCAACCGAGAUUCCCCCAGUAGCGGCGAGCGAACGGGGAGGAGCCCAGAGCCUGAAUCAGUGUGUGUGUUAGUGGAAGCGUCUGGAAAGGCGCGCGAUACAGGGUGACAGCC